ACAUCAUGUUUCAAAUGUUGCUGAGUGAAUCAACCUGUAAAACAGCAGCAGGCCAGCGUCCAGAUCAGGAUGGUGAUGAGAGUCAUGGUGGUUGUGCUUUCUGCUGUGUUGACUGACAGAUCUGAGUCCUGCACUGUUCAACUCACAGGACUAUAAACCUUCUCAGUUCACUGGAGGAUCAGCUGACGAUGCAAAGCCUCCUCUCUAUGGAAAUGAUUUCUCUGCUCUCAACAGACUGAAGGCAACGUGGGAAACAACAUCAGGAGAAAUGCUGCUUGGAUUUACACUAAAUAUGAUCUUAAUGGAAGAGAAGGAAAUAUUUAUAUUAGAAGUGCAGUUGAGGAUUUAAGGAUCAGUUUGUGUCCACUGUGGUUGGUAUGAUGUGUCUGUUUGUCUGCCUUUAGUGUUUACUCUACAUUAUUCUAUAUUUUAAUGAUGCUUAAAAUGAAUCAUUAUCAUUAAAAGGAUCAUGUUCAUUUAACCACGUAUCAACUGAUAUAAACUGUGAAAAAUGUGACUUUAUUACAAGGAGACUGUGAUGGUUUCUCUGUCAGGUUUAGAAAAGUUCAACAAAACUGAAGAAAUCAUCUUAAUUUAUACAUUAUUUACAAUCUAUACCUUUAAAACAAUUUGUAGAUUAAAAUAGUUUAUAUUUUAUUGAGUUAUCAGAACAAGGAGAGGUUGUUUUCAGUGGAUAGAAGCUUGUUCACAGUGCAGGAGGUUUUUGUACGGCCACUUCAUGAGUUUGUAUCACUGUGGUACACUUUUGGUGGAGGAACCAAACUCGUCAUUUACUCUGGCUCCAUGGUCAGGCCCUCAGUCUCUCUGCUUCCCCCGUCCUCUGAGCAGCUCUCCGGGGGCUCGGCCACACUGGCCUGCCUGCUGACCGGCUACUCUCCUCAGGGAGCCGUGGUGAGCUGGGAGGUGGACGGUACAGAGGUGACAGACGGGGUCCUGACCGGCUCAGAGGAGGAGAAGAGCGGACGCUACAGCAGCAGCAGCACCCUGAGCCUGAGCCAGGAGCGCUGGAUGGAAGGAGAGCUGUACUCCUGCAAGGUCCUCCAUCAUGGCCACAGCCAGAUCCAGUCCCUCCGCAGGAGCAAGUGUCAGGGCUAGAGGGUCUGACUGAAGCCCAGGACAGGAGCUGUGUCUGGGGGGAGCAGGAGGAACACCCCUGCUGCUCUGAUCAAUAUGAGUUUUAAUGUUUGUAGAGGAAAGUGAAGCUUUGUGUGACAGAGAAAAACACUGCUGCAAAGUGUUGGACAACAACAAGUCAGAGAGUAAUGUGCAGAGCUCAGCAGCUGGAUGUGAGUGUGCUUGAUAACUGUCAUGUUGAUGACUGAUGUUUUUACUAAUAAAGCUUGAACUGAUGAAUAACA